rnacentral:rRNA from 1 species
AUUGAACGCUGGCGGCAUGCCUAACACAUGCAAGUCGAACGAAUGGCGGACGGGUGAGUAAUGUCUGGGAAACUGCCUGAUGGAGGGGGAUAACUACUGGAAACGGUAGCUAAUACCGCAUACGAUCGGAUGGGCCCAGAUGGGAGUAGCUAGGAGGUGGGGUAACGGCUCACCUAGGCGACGAGCCCUAGCUGGCCUGAGAGGAUGACCAGCCACACUGGAACUGAGACACGGCCCAGACUCCUACGGGAGGCAGCAGUGGGGAAUAUUCGACAAUGGGCGCAAGCCUGAUGCAGCCACGCCGCGUGAGUGAAGAAGGCUUUCGGGUUGUAAAGUACUGUCGGCGGGGAGGCGUUACCCGCAGAAGAAGCACCGGCUAACUCCGUGCCAGCCGCCGCGGUAAUAC